rnacentral:rRNA from 1 species
AGCAGCCGCGGUAAUUCCAGCUCCAAUAGCGUAUAUUAAAGUUGUUGCAGUUAAAAAGCUCGUAGUUGAACUUCGGGAUUUGCCCAUUGGUCAGGCUUAACUGUCUGCACUGGUGUGACGAGUUCCUACCUUCUGAGGAAUCUCCAUGUCAUUCAGUUGGUGUGGGGGGAAAUCAGGACUGUUACUUUGAAAAAAUUAGAGUGUUUAAAGCAGGCGUCCGUCUGAAUACAUUAGCAUGGAAUAAUAAAAUAGGACGGUUUGGUUCUAUUUUGUUGGUUUCUAGGAUCACCGUAAUGAUUAAUAGGGAUAGUUGGGGGCAUUAGUAUUCAAUUGUCAGAGGUGAAAUUCUUGGAUUUAUUGAAGACUAACUACUGCGAAAGCAUUUGCCAAGGAUGUUUUCAUUAAUCAAGAAC